CCCGCCGGCGACCGGCGCACGGGUGAGUAACACGUAUGCAACCUGGCCGCCACAGGGGGAUAACCCGCGGAAACGCGGCCUAAUACCCCGUGACGCCACCGGAGGGCAUCCUCCGGUGGCCAAAGGAGCGAUCCGGUGGCGGAUGGGCAUGCGGCGCAUUAGCUAGACGGCGGGGUGACGGCCCACCGAGGCGACGAUGCGUAGGGGUUCUGAGAGGAAGGUCCCCCACACUGGUACUGAGACACGGACCAGACUCCUACGGAAGGCAGCAG
rnacentral:rRNA from 1 species